AUUGAACGCUGGCGGCAGGCCUAACACAUGCAAGUCGAACGAGUGGCGGACGUGUUAGUUAUGUCUGUGACACUUCCUGGUGGAUGGGGAUCACUAAUGGAAACGGUUGCUACUUCCGCAUACAAUCGGAUGUGCCCAGAUGGGUUUAGCUUGUUGGUGGGGUAACGGCGCACCAAGGCGACGAUCCCUAGCUGGUCUGAGAGGAUGACCAGCCACACUGGAACUGAGACACGGUCCAGACUCCUACGGGAGGCAGCAGUGGGGAAUAUUGUACAAUGGGCGCAAGCCUGAUGCAGCCAUGCCGCGUGUAUGAAGAAGGCCUGCGGGUUGUAAAGUACUUUCAGCGGGGAGGCGUUACCCGCAGAAGAAGCACCGGCUAACUCCGUGCCAGCCGCCGCGGUAAUUC
rnacentral:rRNA from 1 species